rnacentral:rRNA from 1 species
ACGAACGCUGGCGGCGUGCUUAACACAUGCAAGUCGAACGAGGUCCAAGGGUUAGCAAUAACCUGGAAGAUCUAGUGGCGAACGGGUGAGUAACACGUGAGGAACCUACCCCGGACUCAGGGAUAACGGCUGGAAACGGCUGCUAAUACCUGAUGCCGUCGGAGCAUCACAUGGUGCACUGACGAAAGAAUCUCGGUUCGGGAGGGCCUCGCGGCCUAUCAGCUUGUUGGUGGGGUAACGGCCUACCAAGGCAUCGACGGGUAGCUGGUCUGAGAGGAUGAUCAGCCACACUGGGACUGAGACACGGCCCAGACUCCUACGGGAGGCAGCAGUGGGGAAUCUUGCGCAAUGGGCGAAAGCCUGACGCAGCAACGCCGCGUGCGGGAAGAAGGCCUUAGGGUUGUAAACCGCUUUCAGUAGGAACGAAAAUGACGGUACCUGCAGAAGAAGGUGCGGCCAACUACGU